GGAAGGAUCAUUACUGAAUUGUCAAACGGGCUGUUGCUGGUCUUCAAAUGGGGACACGUGCACGCUCUGUUUACACAUCCACUCACACCUGUGCACCCUCUGUAGUUCUACGGUAUGGGGGACCCCGUCUUCCUUCUGUGGUUCUAUGUCUUUACACACACACCGUAAUAAAGUCUUAUGGAAUGUAUGCCGCGUCUAACGCAAUACAAUACAACUUUCAGCAACGGAUCUCUUGGCUCUCGCAUCGAUGAAGAACGCAGCGAAAUGCGAUAAGUAAUGUGAAUUGCAGAAUUCAGUGAAUCAUGGAAUCUUUGAACGCCCCUUGCGCCCCUUGGCUAUUCCGAGGGGCAUGCCUGUUUGAGUAUCAUGAACACCUCAACUCUCAUGGUUUGCCAUGACGAGCUUGGCCCUUGGGGGUUUGCUGGCCUGUGGUCAGCUCCUCUCAAAUGAAUCAGCCUCCCAGUGUUUGGUGGCGUCACGAGUGUGAUAACUAUCUACGCUCGCGGUUGUCCACCAGGUAACCUUUGGUGACAAAGGUUCGCUGGAGCUCAUAGAUGUCUCUCCUCAGCGAGGACAGCUUUUUAACGUUCGAUCUCAAAUCAG
rnacentral:rRNA from 1 species